rnacentral:rRNA from 1 species
GACGAGCGCUGGCGGCGUGCUUAACACAUGCAAGUCGAACGGAUCAGGGGAGCUUGCUUUUCUGGUUAGUGGCGAACGGGUGAGUAACACGUGAGUAACCUGCCCUUCACUCUGGGAUAACGUCGGGAAACCGGUGCUAAUACUGGAUACGACCUACUCGGGCAUCCGAUGUGGGUGGAAAGAUUUAUUGGUGGGGGAUGGACUCGCGGCCUAUCAGCUUGUUGGUGAGGUAAUGGCUUACCAAGGCGACGACGGGUAGCCGGCCUGAGAGGGCGAUCGGCCACACUGGGACUGAGACACGGCCCAGACUCCUACGGGAGGCAGCAGUGGGGAAUAUUGCAC